GGCAACCUGUAGAAAGUCCACCAGUCUUUACUAUCUCAGAACGUGUUUGCAGCCCACUUUGAUGUUUGCACGUAAAAUCAACAACUCGCAACAGCUACCUGUAUUUUCUCUUUAAAAAUACCGUUGACCCUGGCACAACCGUGGGUUUGACGUAUGUGGGUCCCCAUAUAUGUGAAUUUUUCACCGUUCCCGUAAAUGGAUUUUCUGCUCCUUGUGAUUUUCUUAGUAAUGCUUUCUUUCCUCGAACUGCCUUUAUUGUAAGAAUACAGUAUACGAUACAUAUAACACACAAAAUACGUAUUAAUUGACUGUUGACGUUAUGGGUAAGGCUUUCAGUCAACAGUAGGCUAUUAAUAAAGCUUUGGGGCAUCAGAAGUUAUCCGUGGAUUUUUAACCACACAGGGGUCGGUGCCCCUAACCCCCGCCUUGUUCAAGGGUCAGUUGUACGUGGAAAUAGCAAGAGGGAUAAAAAUAUCAGGAUAUACAUUUUCAUCCAUUAACUCUUUUUUGUUGUUGAACAUCGAAUUACUAAAUUAAAAUUAUUACUAUUAUUUGGAACAGACACCACAAGCUGGUGGCACCAGAUUCGGAAGGCACAACGGGGUAAGCAAGGGGACGUGAGUCUUUGGGGACCCCUGCUCUUCCAGUCAGAUCCCCUCCCGGAGGCCCCGCUGGCUUUGGGAGGUUUCUUGGGCCCCUUUACACAGAUGUUCUCUGAACUCCCUGCACCGAGUGGAUCUCAUUCCUGCUUCUCUCUCCGACCCCCCUCCCCACCUCUCUACUUCAACUUCCAGCUCUCUUCCCCUCCCUCCCUUUCAUCUUUGUUUCCUGUUUUCCUUCCAAAAAUGCUAGUCCAGAGUCGCCUGGGUGGCUCAGUCCAUUGAGCGACUGACUUGGGCUCAGGUCAUGAUCUUGCAGCUCGUGAGUUCGACCCCCACGUCAGGCUGUGUGCUGACAGCUCAGUUGUACUGCAACUGGACGAUAUAGCUUGUGUCUUCGUAUGGUACACAACACAGCCACCGAUGGAUGAACUACUGACAGAAGCUUGCCCAUAAUGUACCUUUCGUCAUGCAUGUUUCAUCCCGCUGAUGAGCACCUCGAACAUACUGCUUUUGAAGUUUCUUCUGCCUGCCUUUUGUGGGUAGGCAAAAAUUGAUGUCAUGUGAAAAAUUAAGCAACUUGACACUGUCCUGCCUUUCGAACCCAGAUUUUUUUUCUAAUUUUUUUUUAUAUUAAAUAUAAUGUAUUGUC